GGAAUAUUGGUCAAUGGACGAGAGUCUGAACCAGCCAAGUAGCGUGCAGGAUGACGGCCCUAUGGGUUGUAAACUGCUUUUAUACGGGGAUAAAGUGACCCACGUGUGGGUUUUUGUAGGUACCGUAUGAAUAAGGACCGGCUAAUUCCGUGCCAGCAGCCGCGGUAAUACGGAAGGUCCGGGCGUUAUCCGGAUUUAUUGGGUUUAAAGGGAGCGCAGGCCGGAGGUCAAGCGUGACGUGAAAUGUAGCCGCUCAACGGCUGAGUUGCGUCGCGAACUGGUUUCCUUGAGUGAGUACGACGUCAGCGGAAUUCGUGGUGUAGCGGUGAAAUGCUUAGAUAUCACGAAGAACUCCGAUUGCGAAGGCAGCCAACAAGGCCUUUACUGACGCUAAAGCUCGAAGGUGCGGGUAUCGAACA
rnacentral:rRNA from 1 species